rnacentral:rRNA from 1 species
UACGUAGGUGGCAAGCGUUGUCCGGAUUUACUGGGCGUAAAGAGCGCGCAGGCGGUCGUUCAAGUCGCGUGUGAAAGCCCCCGGCUCAACUGGGGAGGGUCAUUCGAUACUGUUCGACUCGAAGGCAGGAGAGGGAAGCGGAAUUCCCGGUGUAGUGGUGAAAUGCGUAGAUAUCGGGAGGAACACCAGUGGCGAAGGCGGCUUCCUGGCCUGUUCUUGACGCUGAGGCGCGAAAGCUAGGGGAGCAAACGGG